rnacentral:rRNA from 1 species
AUACGUAGGAUCCGAGCGUUGUCCGGAUUUACUGGGCGUAAAGGGUGCGUAGGCGGCGUGGUAAGUCUCAUGUGAAAUCUCCCGGCUCAACUGGGAGGGGUCAUGGGAUACUGCCAUGCUCGAGGGCAGUAGAGGAGAGCGGAAUUCCGGGAGUAGCGGUGAUAUGCGUAGAUACCCGGAGGAACACCCGUGGCGAAAGCGGCUCUCUAGGCUGUACCUGACGCUAAGGCACGAAAGCGUGGGGAGCAAACCGGAUUAGAAACCCCGGUAGUCC